GGUAAAGAUCAGUACAUCCUUAUUACACUAAGUAAAGCUUGGAUUGAUGCUCGUGACUACUGCAGAACAAACUACACAGACCUGACCAGUCUAAGGAAUGACGCUGAGUACCAGGUGGUCCAGGAAGUAGCCAGUGGAUUUGAGGUCUGGGUUGGACUCUUCAGAGACCCCUGGGAGUGGUCAGACCAAAGUGAUUCGUUGUUCAGAUACUGGAAAGCAAACAAACCAGUGUGGACUGAGAGUUACAGCUGUGGUGCCUUGGUGAAGCUGGAAUCAGGAAGAUGAACUGGCUUGUGAGGACACAUAUCCAUUCCUCUGUGACUGCAGAAUAAAGUUGAGGAUCAUUCAUAUGAAGACGAUCUCACAGGAUUCAGUGUCAGAACUCGAGAACUCUUUAGUACAAGAAAACAUGUUGAAGCAAAUGAAGCAGCAACUAAGGAAUAAGAAUGUGAGCGCAAAUAUUCAACUAGAGUGGAGAAAACAAGAUGAUGGGAGAGUUUUUAUCAAUGAACCCUAAAGAAACAGCUGAAGAGAGAAGAAUCAGGCCAACAGACUGUUUUUGAAUAUUGAAUAAAUCAUAUAU